GGUGAUUGAUGGUCAAGUCGGACCGAGCGCAAUGUUGUUCCUCUAUUGAGGUUUUUCGAAUAUUGCACUUGUCCCGGCCUGCUCAUCAACACCAAAAUCAU
rnacentral:pre_miRNA from 1 species